rnacentral:sRNA from 1 species
GCACCUGCGGCGGACAAAGCACAGGCUGUUUAAACAGCUUUGCAGGUAGCUGGUCUGUGUACGGUCUGGUAAGCAUCGGAUGCCGAUGCCUUUAAC